rnacentral:rRNA from 1 species
UACGGAGGAUCCAAGCGUUAUCCGGAAUCAUUGGGUUUAAAGGGUCCGUAGGCGGUCAGAUAAGUCAGUGGUGAAAGCCCAUCGCUCAACGGUGGAACGGCCAUUGAUACUGUCUGACUUGAAUUAUUAGGAAGUAACUAGAAUAUGUAGUGUAGCGGUGAAAUGCUUAGAUAUUACAUGGAAUACCAAUUGCGAAGGCAGGUUACUAACAAUAUAUUGACGCUGAUGGACGAAAGCGUGGGGAGCGAACAGG